CGUGCACGGCCCUCCCACAGCAAGCACCGCCCUCCCGCAGCACGCACCGCCCACCCCCAGCGCGCACCGCCCUACCGCAGCACGCACCGCCCACCCCCAGCGUGCACAGCCCUCCCGCAGCACGCACCGCCCUCCCGCAGCACGCACCGCCCACCUUCCGCUUGGCCUGGGACGCGAUACUGAGGAGCUCCAGGUGGGGGGCAACGUGGGGAGGCAACUGCAGUCUCUACUGCCUAGGCUGGAAUGCAGUGGUGUGACCACAGCUCACUGCAGUUUCGAACUCCUGGGAUCAGCAAUCCUCACUUCAGCCUCCAGAAUAGCUGGAACUACAGGUGUACAUCACAUCUGGCUAAUUUUUAAUUUUUGUAUACAUGGGGUAUUGCAAUGUUGCCCAGGUUGGUAUCAAACUCCUGGCCUCAAGUGAUCCUCCCGCCUCAGCCUCCCAAAAGGCUGGGAUUCCAGGCAGGAGCAACCACACUCGGCCAAAGCAUCUCUUCAUCUGUCUCCUUUGCAGUUUCCUUUAUAAUAAAUGAGUAACUGUAAGUAAAUGCUUUCCUGAGUUCUGUGAGCAACUCCAGCAAAUGAAGCAAACCCAAAAAAGGGGUUGUGAGUAACUCAACAGAAGCCGGUCAGUCAGAAGUUCCCAAGGCUCAGGUGUCUGAAGCAGGGGGGGAAUUUUGGAGGUGAGCCCCCAGCCUGUGGGAUCUGAGGCUGUUUCCAGGGAGAGCGUGUCAGAACUGAAGAAGAGGACCCCAGCUCCUGUCUGCUGCAGAAUCGAUUGCUUGCUUACAGGGGAGGCGAAAUCCCCACAUGUCUUGGGGUCAAAGAAGCCUUCUGUGUUGAUUACUGUUGUUUCAGUGUGAGAGCAGAAGAAAAGCACAAUUUGAAAGAUUAUUUUAAACAAGCAUAUACAAAAAUUAGCUAAAAGUGGAUCAAAGCCCUAAACAUAAAAGCUAAAAUUAUAAGAUUCUUAGAAUAAAACACAGGAGUAAACCAUCACUGGUCAGGGAUGGUGCAUGGUGGCUCACACCUACAGUCCUAGCACUUAGGGAGGCAGACACAGGAGGACAGUUUGAGCCCAGGGGUUCAAGACCAGCCUGGGCAAUAUAGCAAGACCCCAUUCAUUUUUUUUUUUAAUUUUUUAUUUUUUGAGACCAAGUUUUACUCUGUCACUCAGGCUGUAGUGCAGUGGCAUGAUCUCAGCUCACUGCAACCCCCUCCUCCAAUCGCUCAAGCGAUUCUCCUGCCUCAGCCUCCCAUGUAGCUGGGAUUAUAGGCACCUGCCACUAUGCCUGGCUAAUUUUUGUAUUUUUAGUAGAGAUGGGAUUUCAACAUGUUGGCCAGGCUGGCCUUGAACUCCUGACCUCAGAUGAUCUGCCCACCUUGGCCUCCCAAAGUGCUGGGAUUACAGGCAUGAACCACUGUGUCAGCCGAGAACCCAUUCUUACUUUUAAAAAUAAUAAAAGUAAAAAUAAAUACAAUUCAUCAUGAACUCGGAUUUGAAAUGGUUUCUUAGCUAUGACAUCAAAAGCAAAGGCAACAAGAGGGGAAAAAUAGAUAAGAUUGGUUCAAUUAAAAGUAGAAACUGUGGCUCACACCUGUAAUCUCAGCACUUGGGAGGCUGAGGUGGGUGGAUCACAAGGUCAAGAGAUCAAGACCAUCCUGACCAACAUGGUGAAACCCCGUCUCUACUAAAAACACACAAAAAUUAGCCGGGUGUGGUGGCGGACGCCUGUAGUCCAGCUACUCAGGAGGCUGAGGCAGGAGAAUCACUUGAACCUGGGAGGUGGAGGCUGCAGUGAGCUGAGAUCGCACCACCGCACUCCAGCCUGGUAACAGAGCGAAACUCUAUCUCAAAACAAAAAUAAGUAAAAACGACUGUUCUUCAAAGAACUCAUUAAGAAGUGAAAAGACAAAGCACAGAAUGGGAGAGACUGUUUGCAGAUCAUAUAUGUGAGAAAGGAUGUGAAUCCAGAACAUAGAACUCUUACAACCUAAAAAUAAAAAGGCAAAUAAUCCAAUUCAAAACUGGGCAAAGGAUCAGAAAAUACAUUGAUUUCUUCAAAGAAGAUACACAAACAGCAAACAGCACAUGAAAAGACACUCCACGUUACUGACCAUCAGAGAAAGGCCACCAGAACAGAAAGGAGAGGCCACCUGUUGCAGUCUGUGGAGGCCACGGGGUGGCUGAGUCAACAGAAAUUUAUUUUCUUAAUGGUUCUGUGAGUCUGGCAAUCCCAAGAUCAAGGUCCCAUCAGAAUGGGGAACGGGUUUCUUACACAGCCUCUCUUCCUGGCUUACAGACAACUGCCUUCUCCCUGUGUCCUCACAGGUAUGAGAAAGAAAAACCUUCUUCUAAGGAUACCGGUCCUCUUGGAUUCAGGCCCCACCCUCCUGACUUCAUUUACCUUAAUUACCCCUUAAAGCCUUGUCUGCAAAUACAGUCACAUGGGGGCUGGGGCUUCGCCACAUGAACUCUGAUGAACACGAUUCGGUCGAUAACACCACUGGUACCCACGAGGUUGGCUUACUCAAAAGCACAAUGACAAGUGUCGUAGGGGGUAUGGAGGAAUCAGAACCCUCGGACCUGCUGGUGGGAAUGUGAAUGGCAGGGCCACUUUGAAAAAUGGUCUAGUUCCUCAGUCAAACGCAGGGUUGCCAUAUGACCUAGCAAUGCCACACAUGUGCGCAAGAGAAUUAAAAACAUGUCCAUACAACAUGCAUGUACACAAAUGCCCAUACAGAAUUAUGCAUAAUGGCCAAAGAGUGACACAACCUAAAUGCCUGUCAACUCAUGAAUGGAUAAAGUGUGGGCUCUCCACACAGUGGAACAUCCUCCGGCAAUAGCGGGGAAUGAAGUACUAACAGGUGCUAUCUGGCUUUCAGUGGAUGGACCUGGAAAACAUGCUAAGUGAAAGAACCAGACACAAAGGGCACCUUUGCAUGGUUCCAUUUACAUGAACUGGUCCACAGAAGGCAAGUCAUAGAGACAGAAAACAGGUCCGUGGUUGUUUCGGGUUGAGGGGGAUGGGGGAGUUGGAAAGCGACUGCUUGUUUUGUUUUGUUUUGUUUUGUUUUGUUUUGUUUUGUUUUUGAAAUGAUCAAAAUAUUCUGGCCAGGCACGGCGGCUCACACCUGUAAUCCCAGCACUUUGGGAGGCCAAGGCAGGUGGAUUACCUGAGGUCAGGAGUUCAAGACCAGCCUGGUCAACACAGUGAAACCCCAUCUCUACUAAAAAUACAAAAGUUAGCCAGGUGUGGUGGUGGGUGCCUGUAAUCCCAGCUACUCAGGAGGCUGAGGCAGGAGAAUCACUUGAACCUGGGAGGCGGAGGUUGCAAGAUCGAGCCACUGCACUCCAGCCUGGGAGACAAGAGUGAAACUUCAUUUCAAAAAAAAAAAAAAAGAAAAGAAAAAGAAAAUGUUCUAAAAUUAAUCAUGGUGAUGGUUGCACAAAUCUGUGAAUAUACUAAAAAAUCACUGUACACUUUAAAUGGGUGAAUUGGAUAGUAUAUGAAUUCUGC
rnacentral:lncRNA from 1 species